rnacentral:ncRNA from 1 species
AAAGACUACGCCCGCCCUGCAGUGGGGCGCGGGAGAUGUGGCAUACAGAAGCCCCCCUCCCUGGCGGCGCUCUUGGGGGACCCAAGUCCUUGUGAUCGAGGCCGCAGCCCGCGGACGGUGUGAGGCCAGUAGUGGCCCACCAGCGCGCCGGGCCCGGGGCUUCUCCGAGUCAGGUUGCUUGGGAAUGCAGCCCAAAGUGGGUGGUAAACUCCAUCUAAGGCUAAAUACCUGCACGAGACCGAUAGCCAACAAGUACCAUAAGG